GAUGAACGCUGGCGGCGUGCCUAAUACAUGCAAGUCGAGCGAAUGGAUUAAGAGCUUGCUCUUAUGAAGUUAGCGGCGGACGGGUGAGUAACACGUGGGUAACCUGCCCAUAAGACUGGGAUAACUCCGGGAAACCGGGGCUAAUACCGGAUAAUAUUUUGAACUGCAUGGUUCAAAAUUGAAAGGCGGCUUCGGCUGUCACUUAUGGAUGGACCCGCGUCGCAUUAGCUAGUUGGUGAGGUAACGGCUCACCAAGGCAACGAUGCGUAGCCGACCUGAGAGGGUGAUCGGCCACACUGGGACGGAGACACGGCCCAGACGCCUACGGGAGGCAGCAGUAGGGAAUCUUCCGCAAUGGACGAAAGUCUGACGUAGCAACGCCGCGUGAGUGAUGAAGGCUUUCGGGUCGUAAAACUCUGUUGUUAGGGAAGAACAAGUGCUAGUUGAAUAAGCUGGCACCUUGACGGUACCUAACCAGAAAGCCACGGCUAACUACGUGCCAGCCGCCGCGGUAA
rnacentral:rRNA from 1 species